UACAGAGGGUGCAAGCGUUAAUCGGAGUUACUGGGCGUAAAGGGCGUGUAGGCGGGUUGAUAAGUCUCAUGUGAAAGCCCCGGGCUUAACCUGGGAAUGGCAUGAGAAACUGUGAUUCUAGAGUGAAGUAGAGGGUGACGGAAUUUCCGGUGUAGCGGUGAAAUGCGUAGAUAUCGGAAGGAACACCAGUGGCGAAGGCGGUCACCUGGACCGACAUUGACGCUGAGGAGCGAAAGCUAGGGGAGCAAACGGG
rnacentral:rRNA from 1 species